ACUGAUCACCCUCUUAUACCUAUUUCCUCUUCAAACUCUCUCUCUCUCUCUCUCUCUCUCUCUCUCUCUAGGGUUUCUCAGGGGCCUUGUUACAGAGGCAAUUUGGCAUUCUGUCCACCUCCAUAUUCACAAGUACAUAUAGAAGAAGUUUCUUUCUUUUAUUUUACAAGCUCUGGAUGCGGCCAGCAUGUCAAACUGGCUCUGUAAAUUUCUCUCUGAGAAACUCACAUAGAACACUGGAAAACCUUGGUAAUAUUCAAGUUCAAAAACCCUUGACUUGUGUUGCUUUUGGUGUUUUUAUUUUUCACUCUUCUCAUGGAUUUCUCCUCCCAUAUAUUGCAUGGCACAGGUUGAUCAGACUCGAGCUCCUCAUCGUAUACAUUGUUCUGUCAAGCUCAUUGAUUUUUCUUAUUAUCAGUG